rnacentral:rRNA from 1 species
UACGGAGGGUGCAAGCGUUAUCCGGAUUCAUUGGGUUUAAAGGGUGCGCAGGCGGAAUGAUAAGUCAGUGGUGAAAUCCUACAGCUCAACUGUAGAACUGCCAUUGAUACUGUCAUUCUUGAGUACAGUGGAAGUGGGCGGAAUGUAUCAUGUAGCGGUGAAAUGCAUAGAUAUGAUACAGAACACCGAUAGCGAAAGCAGCUCACUAUACUGAAACUGACGCUCAGGCACGAAAGCGUGGGGAGCAAACAGG